rnacentral:rRNA from 1 species
UGCGUAGGCGGUGUGGUAAGUCUGUUGUGAAAUCUCCGGGCUCAACUCGGAGCCUGCAACGGAAACUGCCGUGCUGGAGUAUGGGAGAGGUGAGUGGAAUUCCCGGUGUAGCGGUGAAAUGCGUAGAUAUCGGGAGAAACACCUGUGGCGAAAGCGGCUCACUGGACCAUUACUGACGCUGAUGCACGAAAGCUAGGGGAGCAAACAGGAUUAGAUACCCUGGUAGUCCUAGCCCUAAACGAUGAUCGCUUGGUGUGACAGGUACCCAAUCCUGUUGUGCCGGAGCUAACGCGUUAAGCGAUCCGCCUGGGGAGUACGGUCGCAAGGCUGAA